rnacentral:rRNA from 1 species
UGCCAGCAGCCGCGGUAACACGGGGGGCACAAGCGUUAUUCGGAAUUAUUGGGCGUAAAGGGCGCGCAGGCGGCUAGAUCAGUCGGAUGUGAAAGCCCCGGGCUUAACCUGGGAACUGCAUUCGAUACUGUCUAGCUAGAGUAUGGUAGAGGGAAGUGGAAUUCCGGGUGUAGCGGUGAAAUGCGUAGAUAUCCGGAGGAACACCAGUGGCGAAGGCGACUUCCUGGACCAAUACUGACGCUGAGGUGCGAAAGCGUGGGGAGCAAACAGGAUUAGAUA